GGAACUCUGCGCAACUCACAAGCAGGAAGGUGGCUGGAGACACAUAUACUGUAUCGCUAUUAGCUGCAUAUCACACUCAUUACCUGUACACCCGAGGAGAACAUGCAGUGCCAAGCAGACAGCCAGGAUGACCCGCGGGCCGCCCGUACUCCCCAUGUCCCUGCCGUGCUGUGUGCUCCUGCUGCAGUGCUGUCCCGGGAGCCUGUGUCAGUCACGCCGGAGAGCUCUGGCCAGCGCGAUUGGAAGCGCCGGCUGCUACCAUAGCAACCUGACGCAACAACGCGUGACAUCACAUGCAGCAGAUCCCGGAAGUCCAGGGCGCGCGGCGGUGAUGGAGUGGCCGAGCACGUCUCUUCUCAUUCGGGUGGCGGGUCUUCUCACGGUAUUUAAGGACGCUAGAAGGGACCCUGUCUGCACAUUAAAGAUGAUUGCGAACUGUCCGAUAAACACUUUGCCAUGUAUGACUGGCUUUUUUACAGGAUUCCGAGACAGGAUAAUGACAAUAGAAAUUUAGAAAGUUA